CCCACAUGCCAUAUGAUGGCAUUACAUUUUUUGUUGGUAGAGGAAGAGUCCUUCUACCAGUGAAUCACCUUUUAUUCUAUGCCAACCCAUUAUAUUCUAUGUUAAAAAUUGAUUGGGGCAUGUAAGGAAUAAGGGAUGCCAAGAGUUGGCGUCCCAUGGGAUGCCCCCUUAUUCUCUAUAAAAAGGGGAUGCUAUUCCUUGUUUUUGAUGUCCCUUUUUGGAUGGGUUUAGGCAUGAGAAUGAAAGGAUAAGACAAGAAAAAUGUCUGAAAAAAAAGUAAAAAAAGAGGGAGAGA
rnacentral:lncRNA from 1 species